UAAACCUUGCAACUAGAGGACCCUGAUGCA
rnacentral:piRNA from 1 species